rnacentral:rRNA from 1 species
AACACGUGGGCAAUCUGCCCUGCACUCUGGGACAAGCCCUGGAAACGGGGUCUAAUACCGGAUACUGACCUUCACAGGCAUCUGUGAUGGUCGAAAGCUCCGGCGGUGCAGGAUGAGCCCGCGGCCUAUCAGCUUGUUGGUGAGGUAGUGGCUCACCAAGGCGACGACGGGUAGCCGGCCUGAGAGGGCGACCGGCCACACUGGGACUGAGACACGGCCCAGACUCCUACGGGAGGCAGCAGUGGGGAAUAUUGCACAAUGGGCGAAAGCCUGAUGCAGCGACGCCGCGUGAGGGAUGACGGCCUUCGGGUUGUAAACCUCUUUCAGCAGGGAAGAAGCGAAAGUGACGGUACCUGCAGAAGAAGCGCCGGCUAACUACGUGCCAGCAGCCGCGGUAAUACGUAGGGCGCGAGCGUUGUCCGGAAUUAUUGGGCGUAAAGAGCUCGUAGGCGGCUUGUCACGUCGGUUGUGAAAGCCCGGGGCUUAACCCCGGGUCUGCAGUCGAUACGGGCAGGCUAGAGUUCGGUAGGGGAGAUCGGAAUUCCUGGUGUAGCGGUGAAAUGCGCAGAUAUCAGGAGGAACACCGGUGGCGAAGGCGGAUCUCUGGGCCGAUACUGACGCUGAGGAGCGAAAGCGUGGGGAGCGAACAGGAUUAGAUACC